rnacentral:rRNA from 1 species
CGACUCCAUGAAGCUGGAUUCGCUAGUAAUCGCGCAUCAGCCACGGCGCGGUGAAUACGUUCCCGGGCCUUGUACACACCGCCCGUCAAGCCAUGGAAGCCGGGAGUGCCUGAAGUGCGUGAGCGCAAGCAGCGCCCUAAGGUAAAACCGGUGACUGGGGCUAAGUCGUAACAAGGUAUC